GACAGAGGGGGCAAGCGUUGCUCGGAAUUACUGGGCGUAAAGGGCGCGUAGGCGGGAUGGCAAGUCGGUCGUGAAAUCCCUCGGCUCAACUGAGGAUCGUCGAUCGAUACUGCCGUUCUUGAGGAUUGCAGAGGAGACUGGAAUUCCCGGUGUAGCGGUGAAAUGUGUAGAGAUCGGGAGGAGCACCGGUGGCGAAGGCGGGUCUCUGGGCAAUUCCUGACGCUGAGGCGCGAAAGCGUGGGGAGCAAACGGG
rnacentral:rRNA from 1 species